GCAAGUUCUCCAAGCCUCAGUUUCUUCAUCUUUAAAAUGGUGACGAAAAUAACAGUACUUCCUCUCAUGAAGUCUUUGUAUAGAUUCAAUGAGAUAAUGCUGUGUGAGUCCUUAGCGCAGUGCUGGCGAGUGGCAAACAACCAGUGUCUGCUAUUCUCUCUUGCCCUCCACAAUACCAGUCUAGGGACUACUCUGAAUGAACAGACCUUGGCUCCCAAGCAGUGCUUGGCACUUAACAGAGGCCCAAUACAUAUUUGCUGAAUGAACAAAUUCUUAGGAAUUAAUUCUAUUAUUAUAUUUGUUACAUAAAGUGCCUAGAAUAUUGCCUUGGACAUUGGUGUAUCUUAAUUAAUGAGUGUGGCAGGGUAAAAGACAAGCUUUAUCCAUUGCCCAGGUUCAGGUUAACAGUGCGAGAGUCUAGGGAAAGAGUCUCAGGGAUGCCAACAGGGGUGUGAACUGCUGAGGAAAGGGGCGGCCUCCUCUGGAGAAAGGAAGGAGGUUCCUGAUACAGCAUCUCUUAGACAAAGGGUCCUGGCCUGCCCCGCCCUUUCCCUCCUUCCCUCCCUUAGCAGCCCCACAUCAUCAAGCAGCUCUGGUAUUCAAGCUAUGUAGUCAUGCUGGGACAAGAGCCAAGCCUGUAGAGUACCUUCCAGUGGGUGGAGAGAUACAAGGGAAUGCUUUCUAAUUACCAUAACAGCACAUUUGAUGCCCUUGCCCUCGUUGGGGCUCAUUAUCAUACUAUUGUCAACAAGUCCUCAUCCCUACAGAUUCUCCAAAGAAAUAUUUCCAGGCCCUCUAGGGUCUUAUUUAUUCAUAAGGGCAAGGAGAAAGGCAGGACUGGCCAUUCAACAAAAACGCCACUUAACCACAGCCUGGAGUUUAUUUUAGGAUCUGGCUGGUGGCUGGCUUUGCUUCUGACAAGCUGCUGCGCUCUCUGCAGCAGGAAGUUUUAUUUAUAGACAGGGUAAGGCUGUUUGGGCUGAGGAUUUUAUAACAGGAGGGGCUGCCUGUCUGGGGACCUGCACAUUUCUGCAGAAGGUCUAGGAGUGCCAGAUUAAGUGCCUGAGAAAGGGCGGGAUGGGGAGGGGCGCCCAGCUCCUACUGUCAGCCCUGGAUGUCACACAGGCAGUGAAAAAGCCAGCAGGGGUAGUCUCAUCAUGACAGCGGUGAUUAUGAUGACAAAGACUCUUGAGGAGUGCUUACUCCUGGUCAGAUGAGUCGGUAAGGGUUUCGCAUGAAUCACAUCAUUUAAUCUGCCCCAAGUGUCGUUAUGUUCCUUCUUACGGUGAUGAAGAAACUCAGGCUCAGAGGGUAAGUCAUGUACUUUAAUACACAGCUGGUAAGAGGUAGUACAUGCUCUCUGAACAAAUGUGGAGGAUUCUGGGAAUGUGACAGGCUCUAACUACACAGCCCCACAGCCCUGCAAGGCACUGACCUACUAACUCCGCUCGCUCCCUCUUUCAGAGAUUUCCUUAGCUGAAUGUUUUGUGAGCCUUAGCAGCAUUACGAAAUGCUUGCUUGAUACACGACCCUGGGGUGCAGAGAGCAGGGCGUUAACCAGGGUGCUCCAUGGACAGGCAAGGAAAAGACUUCACCUUGUGUUCUUUUGAAAAUACACCCUUGAAAGAACUACCACGAGCCUUCUGACAGAGGCUGAUGCCCUUAUAGUCAGUAUGUUGCCAUUCAUUAAAGAGCAAAGUCACCAGAAGCUGGCCAGGCACCACCAUGUUUCAUUGACACUUUUUCUGUAUUAUAGUCUUGGAAUGGAAAAUGACUAGGGAUGGGUCCUGUGUUGUGUUGGCAAGAAAGUAGGACAGCAGAUUUUUAAAUGAAAAAAUUCUGAUUCAUCAAUGUAACAGACAUUCCAUUUAAUCCUCGUGAUUAUCAGGAAGAUGGCGGUGGGUGGGGUGGGAUGGUUCUGGGGAGGUGCCAGAGAAGGCAGUUGACUGCCAGCAGCUGAGGGCUAGAGGGACAGGCUAAAGGACCUUGACCCAAACGGCUACUCUACAGUGGCUUGAGCUCCAAACUUUGGAGAACUUUCAACUCUAAAUUACAGGAAAAUGUGAUCAUUUAAAUGAAUGGCCUUACUGUCGUGGCGACGUGUUUGGGAAGUACAGAAGUUGCCAAAGAUCGGUCAUUACUGCAUAAUCUUGGCUCAAGCAAGGCUCAUGACUUCAGUGUUUUUGGACACUACUUGGCAAAACAGAUACACUCGUGGACAGCUGGUUUUCAGGUUUAAAUUUUUAUCCAUCAUUUUGUGAGAAAAUGCACUCAUGGGGAACAGCUUUUCUAGUGUGGUUUGGGCUCUUUUCUGCUAAGGAGGAUCACUGGGAAGCACUGCUCAACACUGGGCCUGUGUGCAGAGCAUGCUCCUUUCAACCAAGAGCUGCAGUGCCAACAUUAACGUGGCUCCUCGCUUAUUGAUUCUGGCAGGAAGUCAAGGUUUUAGCUGCUGCCCAAUAUCCCACACAAUAUCUUGGAGAGGAUUCUCCUGAAGAGAAACACGUGUCAUUUGGUCCUUACAGAGAUGGCACAAGAUCAGUUCUAGGUCACCAGGGAGGGUUCUUGAUAAUACUCAUUGUUCCUCAAUCUGGCAAGCUAGACGGGAGACUUCUGGCUUAGUCCUCUCUCUCCGUCCUGGUCCCAAUUAACUAUCCUUUGGGUCUACCUUGAGCCAGGAGGCAACUUCCUUCUUUGAUGCUCUUGUGUUAAUUUAUAAGAAUAACUAUAUUUUACAUAAGGUUAAAAGGUGAGUUUCCAAAGCAGAGUGGUAGAAUCUGGGGCUGAUGCGGGAGCACUUGCACCUGAGAUCUCACAGGCUGUUGUCUCUUUGCACCUGGCAAGGAGAGGCACUUCUGUGGGUUAUAUUGUAUGCACGAUGAGCUAUCAUAAAUCUCAUCAAAGGAAGCCAACAUCAGCAACAUGUUUAGUGCAAAAAAUGUCCUCUCCCUUUUUUAAUAAACUUCUCGGUGGAGGUUAUUUUUGAAAAUUCUAAGAACAAAGGAUAUAAAAGAACAAAACUGUUUUGCUCAGGAGACUUUUAGGUAGCAAGAUGGGUACAUGUAGAAAUAAAUGCAUUCAGCUUCUUUUCCUGUGACGUAUUUUUGCAUCCUGAAUCAUAAGAUGGAAACCCUGGUAUCAUAGUGGUUAAGAGCUAUGGCUACUAACCAAAAGGUCGGCAGUUCGAGUCCACCAGGCGCUCCUUGGAAACCAUAUGGAGCAGUUCUACUCUGUCCUAUAGGGUUGCUAUGAGUCAGAACCGACUUGACGGCAACGUUUUUUUUUUUUUUUACGGGGAAUCAUAAGAUCUUCUUUGAAAACACUACAUUUUUGGCCCGAGGCUCCACAGCUAGUUACGCUCUUGCAAAAAUCACAUUUUAGGAUGCUCUGUGUAUUCACCAGGAGCCCUGGUGGUGCAGUGGUUAAGCACUUGGCAGCUACCCCAAAGGCUGGCUGUUCAAACCCACUAGCCGCUCCGUGGGAGAAAGCUGUGGCGGUCUGCUUCUGCAAAGAUUACAGCCUUGGAAACUCUAUAGGGCAGUUCUACCCUGUCCUUUAGGGUUGCUAGGAGUUGGAAUCCACUUGACAGCAGUAGGUUUGGUUUUGGUUUUUGUGUAUUCACUAAAUGCUGACCUUAAUAGCAUCAACUCUUUUAGAAAAAGAUUUAGUACACAUUCAAAAGUGAUUCAAAUUCAGCUCUAAAAACCUGAUGGAACUAUUUUUCCUCAGUUUGGAUUUAAACAUCAUGACAGGGGCUCUAAUUCAUACUUAUUCUUAGAACUCUAUUUAGAGUGUAGCUACACUCCAUGAUGCUUCAGAAGACAAAGGACAAAAACAUGCCUCUUAGUAUCCAGCCUAUGGAUUCUUUUUAUUUAGCCUUACUAAAAAAAGGUCUCAAUAUUUAUUUGGUGAUUAAGCAGUUCACAAAUGUUACUGUAACACUGUAUUUUUCAUGAUGGGGAUAUGAUUUUAAUCUUGGCUCUAGCUUAAGUCUAUAGGCAAAUGGCUUAGCUUCUCUAUUCUGGUUUCUCAAUCACUCAGUCACAGAGUAUUAAGAGCCCACGACAAGUAGACAAGGAGCCUGAAAACAGGAACAUUCAAGGUAAUGGUCAAUGGGCAUGGACAGUACCCUCGGGGUUCAUGACACUGCAUGACCUUAUCAUGGAGCAGAUGGGCCUUUUGGUAGCUGACCAAUUAGACUGUCAUGGGUGGAGUCAGAAGUCUACCUACAGCAAGGUGCUACAGUGAAGUUCCCGUGUCAGAAGCUAGAAGAGCACUGUCCAUGUAAACGCUGGGAACAAAAGAGAGUUAGCAAUUGGGAAAUCUUUAGAAGUAAGGGGCUGAAAAGUACUCCUUCGAUUCAGACCUGUUGCUUUUGAGAGCCCCCAAGGCAAGGAUUCUGAGCUCUUAGCCAGUUCCUGGGCUCUGACUACCUCAGAGAUGGAGCUUUAUACAAAUGAAGGCUCUAUGCACUCCUCUCCCCUGUGGGUCACAGAAAUCUAGAAGGAUUGCUGGUUUGAGUGUGUCUCCUUCCAUGAGGCUGUGUUGGUAGGGUCUAAUCAGGAUGUCAGCACUUCAGAGGCGAGUCACUGGGUCUUUCAGGAAGGACAGGAAAGCACAGGGUGAACACACCAGACGAGCCAAACCAUAUUUCAAGGGCCCAGCAGACAGGAACUACCUAUGAAACUCUCAAACCAGACACCCAAAAGCCACCAAAAAAAACAAACCAAACCCACUGCUGUUGAGUCAAUUCUGACUCAUAGCGACCCUAUAGGGCAGAGUAGAACUGCCCCAUAGGGUUUCCAAGGAGCAUCUGGUGGAUUCGAACUGCCGACCUUUUGGUUAGCAGCCAUAGCACUUAACCGCUAUGCCACCAGGGUUUCCCCAGCAGCCACUGCCUCCGAGAAAUGAGGAAGAAAACCGACUCUUGGCCACAGCAAGGAACUAACACACCAUGUUUCCCUGGAACAGAGAAGCUGUCAUGGGAUGUGUCAGCAUCAGGCUGCGCUGAUGAAAAUGCUGGGGAAGCAAGUAAAGAUGGACAUGAUUGUGGAGACUGAGGGAGACAAAUGGGAAAAACUUCUAGUCGCUGGAGGACUCCUUGGCCACUGGUCACUGCUUUUGGGUGAAUCAAAGUCCUUGCUGUCAGUUCAGAGCAUCACAGAGCACUGGCCACUUGCUGGCUAGGCCUGGAGCUACACAUCGAGGCUGCAAGUUCAUAAAAUGCCCAGUCCCUAUUAAUAUUAUUAUAUCUACCUUUAUACUAAACGUAGGUCAUUUGUCAUGUACUACAUUACAUGCUUUACAUGAGUUUUUCCUUUAAUCCUCAUAACUAUCUCAUGCCCCUGUUGGGAAGAUGAGGAAAUGGGGGCUUAGAGAGUUGGGCUGCAUGCUCAGGUUCACACGGCAGGUGAGAAACAUGAGAGGAAGCAGCCAGAGGAUAUCUGGGAAGGUCAAGAGCAGAAGAGAGAAGUAUGUGGGGACAUGCACGGAAAAAGUGGGAGGCAGAGCUGAGGUGAGGGUCCAUAGGUAAUGGGCAAGUGAAUGGGUAGGUAAAAGUAGACUGCAAAGGCCUCAGAAGAAAGGUGAGAAAAAUGUUGGACCUGAUUCUGCAGUGACGUAGUGAGACUAUACUCUGGUUGUAGAGUUGAGAAAGGGACUGAGGUAUCUGAUUGUGGAGGUAGGAAGGCUGGGGUGGCGGGGGAGGCCAUCCAGGUAAGAUGCUGGAGGGUGGGACUAAGCAGUAGCAAUGGGGUUGGAGAAAAGCAGACCAGCCCAGAGAAGUUGAGCUUAACAAGGAAGGAUCAGCAGGACUUGGUGACUAUGUAUACGUGGUGGGGAAGGAAAUACUCAAGAUCACACCUCUGCUUCUUGCUUGGAAACAUUCACAGAAAUAGCGAGAGUGGAGAGAAGAGUGGGUAUAGCAGGGCAAGAUUCAAUCAAGCGCCUGAUACGUGGAGACAGAAUUCCUAAAACCAGGGAGCCAAAAGUCUAGGGAGGAGAUAAACCUACUCAAACAGCUACAAACCCAUGGGAAGUUAGAUUUGGACUAGGAGACUAUACUCUGUUGUUCAGCCUCUAACAAUGGGGAAGAGUUUAGGAGUCAAUGACUUUACACAACAUAAAACACCCACACAACACAUGAGCUAUACUGGGCUAAUGAGGAACAUGCAACAGCAGGAUAGAGUAGUCUCAGAGGCUUUCCAACGGUGGGUGACAACGGCGUAUUACUCAUUUUCCCCAAAAGAGAAACAGUUCUGACGUUGACCAUGCAAGGGGACUUCUGUGAAAGAACCCCAGGGAAAUAAACCAGGCCAUGAAGCAAAGUCCCUCAGGGAGGGACGAAGCACUGAGAAAUACCUUGCCUGCUCCUGGGCCAGUGCGUUCUGCCCUCAUACACUUCCUUCCCUUUCAUUUCUCAGUUCGAUUCAGCUCUAGCCAGGGCAGGAAGCCAAUAAAGAUGACAUCAGGAAGAAAGGAGGGAUAGAAACAAGGAGGUAGGAACAUAUUUUUUCCAACAGGUGGACAGACACCUUUCUGGGCCAAGAAGUCCUAGAGCUCUGCAGGACUCUCUUCUACAUCUCUCAUCAGCUUUUCUCUUUUCUUUCCAUUUUCUGUCCUUCUCAUUCUUCUUUUUCCUUUCCUGUGAUGCCUUUAAACUAGUCGGUAUGCUGUCUGUGUGAUGGCUGCUGGGCUAGUUCUCAGGGAUGAUUCUUAGCCAGGAGAUUGAGGAGGGAAACAGAAAGGGAGGGCAGUGGGGAGGGAGGGGGGGAAAAAACAAAAAGGAGGGCGCGGAGAGGCGGAGGCAGGAUGGGGAGAGAGAAACAGAUGCGCUAGUAGAACUUAAGGAGCCCACCAUGUGUCUCAGGGAGGUGGCCAGGCUGUUUCACAGCAAGGGGAUGAGUGAUGCAGGAACCAGGAGUCCACAUGAAGCCCAUCCAUGCCUUCUGUUAAAAGCAUACGUGCUGAUGCAUGAAAGCCUGGGUCCAACAUCUCUGAAAAAUCACUAUUUUGCCCAGAAUAGGUUACUAGCUGCUCUACGGUCUCCCCCCCGCCGCCCCCAAUUUUUUCUUUUUAACUGAAGUCCUCAAGAUUAUACUCACUUGAUUUUCUUACCCCAAAUAUACAUAUUUUUAAACAAAUGACAGUUGUUAUAGUAAUUUCCAUAUAACUUCUCAAAAUCUGGGUUGGCUAGCAGUUUACACAUCCAGAAGUCAUUUUGGAAGCCAAGACGGUAAAGAAAGAUUCCGAAAGGUUUCUAGCACGCAAACAGAUCACAUCUUGGUGAUAGCAUAUAUUCCUAAUUGCAGUUAGCAAAGACAUGAUGUAUAAGAAAGCGGGCUAAAUCAUUUGGGAGAUGGAAGGAGGUUUUUCUAGCAUCAACAUUGUAAUGCCUGAAGGACACUGGCAAGCCCAGUGGUUACUGAGAGAAUCCCAAUAUCCUGGUCAAGGGCAAAGUGAAUUUGGAACUAAUUCAAAACUUUCAAGAUUCACACUACCAGAGUGCAGAAACAGAGAAAAUGCAAGCCAGAGAAGGCAUAUGAAAAGGAGCUGGGAUAUGGGAAUUCAGGUGUUGAAGGUGAAAAGGGCUGGAGGGACUAAGCCGGAAGAGAGGAGGAAGGGGGUCUAGGUGAGUGGACUUCUGCUAGGCUGCAAUGUGAGCAUGGCACGCAGCCCAGUGGGUACAAAAGCCCAGAAAGCAGCUGAGGAAGAGUCCAGGGACAGGAACCACCACCAUGUCAGAAAGCUCAUGCAACACUGCUGUCUCUGGGAGGGCUGGAAAGUCAAUUCCUCAAAUUCUCAUUUGUGCCUCCUACGUGCAGGCCUGUUGCUAAGCACUAGGGCAUCUGAAAUAACACAGCCAGCCUCUUGGGCCUCAGUGAAGGCUGCACCUACUUCUCUAAAUCUUUCCUGGCUCAUAGUCACUCACCCAUUUUCCCCAGACAUCUUUCUUCUAUCGAACUGGUCUUAGUGUUCUAGGGACCAUACAUCAGGGUUUGGAUGCAUUCUGUGUGGAAGUUCAAGUCUCCUAGGAUUAUGGCACACAUUGGGAAAGAAAGGAAGCUUGGAGACCAGGAGGUAACAUAACACCUCAUUGAAGGAGAAAGUCAAGCCGACCCAGGUGAAGAUCGUGAAGAAGAGGGUGGGAAGGGAAAGCUGAAGGAUGGUGUGCAGCACACAGGGGUAAGAGAGUAGGAAUAUGCCUGAGAGACAGCUUGGGGGUGUGGGGACUGUGUGGAAGCCUGGCCUGUGCUGGAGAGGGCUGUGCUGAUGAGAGAAGCUCAGGAAACGGGGGUUUCAGUUAAGGCAGAGCGGGUGGGUGUAGGGGGGACUGGCAGAUCACGGAGUGGGAGGUCCUGAGGAGACAGCUGAGGGGUCGACUAUUGUCAUAACCCUUUAGAUGAUUCUCUCGUGACCUCAACUCCGAGUGUUUACAUUUGAGAUGAUCUUAAAGGCUGGGUUUUUCAGCCUCCAUUACACAGGCAAUUCCCUCUGCUUGGAACUUCUCUGACCUACUUUCCUUGCUCUACAUCUCCUUGUUGAAAUCCCAACUAUGAUUCAAGAUUCAGCUCAAGCUCCAUCUCCUCCAUGAGGCUCUGCCUGACCCCCCACCCCACCAAUAAGGUUUUUACUAACUUGGUAGCUCUCAUGCUUUUACAAGUACCUUGCCUUAAUGUGAGUCUCUUUUAUGCUUGUCUUAUUUUGCCUGAAUCGGCUCUACGGCACUGGGUAUUUUUUUUUGGUUAUUUUGCCUACUGAACUGUAAGCACUUCUAGGGGAUAGGGCUGUGUCUCACUCAUCUCUGUAUCCCUCCUGCCAUCUGAUCCACGCACAGGAGAUGCCCCGUGCUUGUUAAAUUAAGCUGAUCCUUUGGAUCUUGGGAAAAUUGAACAAGAAUACUUUUCCAGCACCCAUUUCAAUCUAAAUUGUUCGAUACAGAUUUAUUGCUCUACAUAUUCCUUGGCAAGAGGUUUUCAACGGUAAGAAUCUUUCAGUAGGCGUAACAGGCAGCUGUACCAAGAACCCAGUGACGCACCUUCAGGUUUGACCUCUGCCGUGUUCCUAAACAGUACUCCCCUGGAAUUCCAUGCUGGACUGAUGACCCAGGCCCAGAAACAAUGGGACAGAGAAAUUUAAGAAUAAAGGGUGAUUCUGACAGCAAUCCAAAGGCCUCUGUCUGGGCCUCAUCUCUUUUAGAACUAAGCAGAGAAUAUACGAUGGAUAUGCUGGCACUACACUAACUUUUCUGGGACUGCAAUAUAUCAGACGUCAAAUAUUCCAGACACUUAAGCCUUACUAGAGGCUCUGUGGCCCAGAGUGUGCUUCCCUUUUAAUGAAAUAAAGUACCUUUAUGAUCUCAUCCCCUUGGGCUCUCGAUGGAGAUGGUGCUUAGGAUGAAGUAUUUUAGAUGCAAAAUGUCUCAAGACUCCCCUAUGCUUCACAGAUGAAAACUGUGAUGUUCAUACCCAAACUUAAUUAAAAUGCCCUCAAGUUUUCUUUCAUUUUGUAGCAAACAGUCUAGUUCAUUCAUAGCCCUCAUGCCCUAAACUGCUCAAGAGGGAGAUUGUAGAAACUCUUAGGAUAACUCACACUUACUUUUCUAUUCAUAGAGAGGAAAAAACAGUCAAAAGCUGGGAUUAUCUAAAGGCCAAGUUUUGCAAGAUUUGUGAAGAGGGCUUGCCAGAGGUGCUUUCUUAGGAAACAGAGGACAUCUGUGCAACCAGGCUUGGUGGGGAGGGGGUGAGGCGGUGUUUUAGCCUUUCUGUAGCACUUGCAGGUUUGCUGAGAGCUCUAAAAAGUUGUUGAGCUCUAGCACCCAAUGAGACAAGGUAUUUCAAGGCCCUCACAACAGGAAGGACUGUCUUAACCCUGGGCAUUUCCAAAGGUGGAAACCAGCAAAAUCAAACUGGGAACACGGGUUUGGAUAAGUCUUUAAAAGUCACCUGGUUCAAUCUCAUCCCCUAUAGAGGGGGAGAGAAAAGCCCACAUAGGCUGAGCCAUUUGUCUGAGUAAUCAUGCAUAGAAUUAAAAAGGCGGCCAAGACUAGAAUCUGGAACUCUUAUCACUAAAGUAAUAAAGAACAAGAACCAUAAUAAUAUACUUUCUAAGCUUACUAUAAGCUUGAAAGGUUCAUAUUAUUUCAUAUAAUCCUCACAAUCACUCUGUGAGGCCAGGAAAAGAGAACCCCAAAGAAAUGAAAUUGAGGCCUAGGAAGGAUAAGGGAAUUAGCUAAGGUCAAACAGAUUUUGAGUGAUAUCCGAACUCAGCUCCAUUCCAAAGGUCUUUCCACUGCUGCUCAGUUUCAUUUUAACAGAUUAAAGGGAGAAUGGUGGCUGUUUUAGGUUCUUCAGUGUAAACUCCAGUGCAAGAUAACAGACCAGCACUGUGCCUCCUGAAGUGUUACUACCCCCUAUGGGGGUGCAGUUGUUAAGUGCUGGCUGCUAACUGAAAGGUUGGCAGUUCGAACCCACCCAGUGGCUCUGCAGGAUAAAAGACCUGGCCAUCUGCUCCUGUAAAGAUUCCAGCCUAGAAAACCCUAUGGGGCAGUUCUACUCUGUCACAUGGGGUCGCUAUGAGUGGGAAUCGACCUGACGGCACGGCACCCACAAACAACAACAGCAAAGCCUUAGUAGUAAACUGUUUACAAAAGUGGUUGCAACUCUUCCCCUUCCUAUAUCCUUUGCAACAUGAUUUAGCAGCAACAUCCAUCAAGAGAUGGAGUCUCCUUCCCCAUUCCCUGAAUCUGGGCUGGCUCUGUGAGUUAACCAAGAGAAUGCACUGGAAGUGACGAGGUGCCAAUUCUGAGCGCAGGCCUUGACUUUCGUUUGUUUUCCUGGAACUCUGCCAGCUGCAUGUGUGCAAGCCCUGGCUAGCCUGAUGGAGGCUGACAGACCACAUGCUUCACAGCCAGAUUGGUCCGGCUGUCCCAGCUGAGGUCCCAGAGAUGUGAGCAAGCCUAGUCAGAAUCAGCCGUGCCUAGACCAGAUCGGUACAAUCACCCUAGUAAUCUCUAUCCUGAGCAAUGAUAAAUUGUCAUUGUUGUUUUAAGCCACAAAGUUUUGGGGUGACUUGUUAUGCAGCAAAAGGUAACUGAUACAGCCCUCAAACUCAAAGUCCAUCAAGUACGUGGUAAAGCUCGCUUUCCUUGGUCUUACUUCCUAUGUGAGGAUCUUUCCUUUUAAAUACAGAACACUUACAGAGCUGAGCUAAAGCUCAAUGUGGGAUGAGAAUAAAAAGGCCAAAACAUCUCUGCCAGUUUAUGUUAUAAUGAUAAUGCUCCAAACGUGGCUGCUAACUUUUGCCCAUCUCUACCCCUCUCCACUGGAUAAUCCACGGUCCUUAAGGCCACAGACAACCAACCAUACAUGCCUUUCCCAUCUAGGUGCCGGGAUCCUGCAGGAGAGAACCAGCGAGGAGCAGCACACACCAUCGGGAGGUACAGGUGUUGCAGGAAGGCUGCCCUGACUGCCACGCCGCUCUGUCCCUGUGUGCUCAGGGGAGAAGGGUCAGUGCCUCCCACUCUCGAGCAGAAGGAGCACUCUGGGUUUGUGGGGCUCUGGCCGAAGCUUUUACAGAGACCACAGGAGAGGUCAGCUUAUCAGGCUUUUAAAAAUUUUGUUUUUUAAAAAUGGUCACCAGUAUUGAGAAAUCACAGCUCCCAGAAGUGUCUGAGUACCUGCGGUCCUAUCUUUUAUGAAACAAUGAGGCCCCUGAUUUGGUUCUGGCCUAAUGUAGGAAUAAAACAUAACACCAGUUCAUGUUACAAAAUGUGCUUCCUUAAAAUAGCUCAACUAAAGCUUACUGUGUUUGUUUUUCUUCUCUGGGAGAGGUGGUGGUUUUUCUGGGUCACCCGUUGAAUCUGGAACAGUGAAAUCACCCACAAACUCGACAGGGGCCGGGGACCCUCCUUGCUGAAAGGGGAGAAUGGCAGCAAAGGGUGUGAAGGGGAUGGACUGGACUGAGGCUGGCAUCUGCAGGUCAUCCUCGGAGAUGUUGUCAUACUGCGAGGGGUGCCGCUCGUAGGAUACCCUGCGGCCAGAGCUGUCCGUGGUCUGGGAGGCUGCACUCCGGCGCUUCUUCUCUGGGAGAGCAGGCGGUGUGUCUGUCUGCUGCCCCAGGGCCAAGGGCCCCUCUGGCUGUGGACAGCUGCCAAGAGGCAGCUGGAAAGGAUGGCCAAGAAAUGGAGACCCAGACUCCCCCAAGGACUCUGGCAAUGGGCUAAGGUUACAGGCCACUUGCUGAGGUAUCUGGUCUGCGUUAGAGAGGUCUUGCUGGAGGAAUUCAUAGUCAGGGUCAUAGUGAUCUGCAUUCACAACAGGGGAAAAAAACAUCUGUUACCACAAGGUCCCACAGAAAGAAACAACCUCACUCUUCUUCCCUUUUCCAGUCUUGUUCAGUACAGCACGGCGAACACAUGUCCUUGGUCUCAUCCGUACAGGGGUCUCACCUUACUGUAUAUUCUUCAUCAUUUUUCCCUGACUAUAAAAGUAAAACACAGGACAAUACCACUGUUUGCUCUACUAUUCUUUGUAUUUUUCUAAUUUCUUACUUAAAAACACAUGGCCAUUGUAGAAAAUAUGGAAAGCAAGCUAUAUCAAGAAAAUAAAAAUCACCCAUAAUCCCAUAAUCUAAUUACAAUCACAGCCUGCAUUUUGAUGUAUUUCUUUAAAGUCUUUUUUUCUAGGACUUUUUUUCCAUUUAUUUAUAUAUCACAAGUGAUUUUUAAUAGCUACGUAUUAUUUCACCAAAUGAAUGUAUUAUAUAAUUCAUCCAAUUUCCCACCAAUGAGUAUUUCAAGUGUUUCUAGUAUUUUACUACUCCUAAUAAUGCUGAGAUUAACCUCCUUGGACAGAAAUCUUGUCACAAAUCUCUCAUUAUGUUGUUAGAAUAAAUUCUUAUUGGUGUAAUACCUAGUUCCAGGGAUAUUACAGCUUUGUGCUCUUUAAACCUAUUGUCAAACUACCUUUCCUACAGUCACGCAAACAUAGCAGCACAAAUUCAGCACCUAUGAGAUGUUACCACAUGCUGCCAGCUUGCCUUUAACUUCCAGCAAAUAUUGUCAGGGGCUGUCCCCCUUUGUCUCCAGCUCUGAGCACAGACGGCUCUUAAUUUUGGUAAAGAGAGUCAAAUUGCACACUGACAGGUUAACAGUAACAAUAGCUACCAUUUGAGUACUAUGUGGUUUCACAUUGUUACUUCAGGUAAACUUUCAACCUCUUUGAGACGUAGAUAUUGUUAUCCUCAUUUUGUAGAUGAGGAAACUGAGGCUCAGCUUUUAAAUGACUUUACCAAGGUCAUAAAGCCCAUGACUGGCCUACCUGGGAUUUGAACCCAGGACAGCAUGACCCCAAAGAAACCAUCGAGAAAUAAUGAGACAGAAUGAGGACGUCUGCCCAAGCAGAGUGGGGUGUGAGAGGCCUAUAGCUCACCUAGUGUUUCACAGCUUGUGUUCCGGGAGCACUGCCCACUGUCCCUGUCCAGAGAGGACAGCUGCUCGUCCGACUUGCUGAGCUUGCCUAUGCUGCUGCAGGGGGAAAGGCGAGGGGACUCUCCACCGUAUGAGUGGCUGCCUCCUGACAGGCGUCUCUGUGUGUAACAGUCAACGUCAAAAUCCUCAGGUGGAAAAAUAAACAAACAAACCCAGUCACUUCUGAGAAGUGGUGGCAGAAAACAGGGAAGAGGGAAUUGGUACAUUAACUUAGAGAAGGAAACGCUACCAAGCUCGGAAACCUAUUGGAAACUCCCAUCUUUGAUGUAAGCGAUAGAACAAUGUAUCUGUGACUAAAGUGAAAGAAGCCUUUAGAAAUUCUGAGGGUGCACGGCAAGACAAGUUCCUUAGGCUGGACUCAGCUGUCCUCAGGAAAUGCCCCUUUGAAUCCAGUCUCCUUUCCCCACUCCCCAUAUGGGAACUUCUACCAUGUCUUGGAGAGAGAAGGAUGACUAAGAAGACUUCAACCUCUCCAAUAGUGAUCCUCUCAUUCUGACUAACAGCAGGGUCUGAAGACCACUUGGUUUCUUGCAGCUUUAGGAACCAAAUCCCAGAACUCAAACUCUUCCUGUGCCUUUUCAGACAGGGCUGCAUUACCUGCCUAUUAAUUCCUACAGGCAAACUGGAGCCACUGGUAGCUCGGCUCAUGGGGGCCACUACAGCCACUCGGGUAGGGGAUGGAGCCGACUGUCUUUUCUUGGGUGGCAAUGCUGGUGGAGGGCUGAAACAGACAAACAACGCCAAUCAAAUCAAACAACUCAAACAAAAAUUUCUUUACAAAGAUAUUAGGUUAUAGAAUGUGGAAUUCCUUCAUUAUUAAACUCUCGCACACCUAGUUUCCAUUCUUUCAACUCUUGCCCCGCUCCCUUUCCGCUAAAAUCAAGUCUCCAAUGGCAAGAAAAAAAAAAAAUCUAAAAUAAGAAAAAACCCUUUUUUCCCCUUUAAUAGAAUACAUUGUACCAGUUUUCACUUGGCUAAGGCUAAGGCUAAAAGGCAAGGGCAAUAAGACUUUAGGUCAAACUUUCAAAGCUUCUAAAGAGCAAGGGAUUGAGCUCUCAGUUCUUAUCCUAACCAUCUUCUCGUUUUGCUCACUCUACCUCUUCAUUCAUCAAAUUAUAUCAUAAAUAGUUGGCAGUGGGGGUAGGUGCCAGAAAAACAGAAAUUAGUGUGAUAGCAUCGUUACCUAUUAUCAACCACCCGGAUGCCAGGUAAAGGGGGCUUGGGAGGUGCGACCUCUUCAUCCAUGGAGUCUGGGAGCAGCUCAGUCGACUGCGACAUCCCAGUUGUCUUGUUUAGAAUCUCCAUCUCUCGAUCUGUCAGGGGGAGCUCAGACUGGCUGAAGAAUGUAAAAGAAGCUGGGGUUACAGGAGGUCCUGAAAGGGUUAUAAUGAAUGGGACCAGAGCAAGGGGAUGAUGGGGGUGGGGACAGGCUGUGGAGCAGGAGCUCUCAGUACAACAGCACUGGACUUCAGCUCAGACGAAGUUUCAAAUCUGGUUUGAUCCCUAAUGGGAUUUUGGCCAAGUGCCCCACUCUCUGCAUGUCAGCUUCCUCAUCUGUAAAAGGAAUCUUUAGACUGAAUGACCUAAAAAAAGCCUCCCUAAAAUGCUCCAAAUUUAUGUUUCACAUUUUUACUAGGGGCUUGUAGUAGAAAUUAUUGCCAUACAUUAAAAUGGUCCAUUGCUACCCUCGGUUUAUUUUCUUGGUAAAGAUAAUAUUAUAAAAACUUAAAUGCUCACAAGCCAAAUCUCCAAAAUGCAACCCUAAAAGGGUCUCUCGAAUUAUGAAAUGAAGUUGGUCAGGAAAGCACUGGUGCGUGUCACUGUACGCCCUCACACACUGACCUCAGAAAGACGCAUAUUCAGUAUUUAAGCUUGGAACAGGCAAUACUCCAAAAUGUGUGUGAAGUAUACACAUUUUAAAGUAACACAGACCCUCAUCCAGAACUUCUUAUUGAAAGAGGAAGUACAGGCCCCACACAGUCUACCCAACGUGGGCUACCCGAUUUGGCUCGCAUUCUUUCUCAGGUGUAGACUUUGCAACUGAAUACAGCAGUGACCAGAAGGGUUCGUCAGCACUCACCUGUCAGGUUUGCAGGCCGGGGAGCUGGGCUUCACUGGGCUUGUUGGAGAUGGAUGCCCCUGCUUCUCGAUGGUAAGUCUGACCAGCUCCUACACCCCACACAAAAGAAGAGCAAUGAGGCACAGGAAAGUUGCUUUUCAUCGCUGAUUUUUCACAACAAGGUAGGUCAGUUGUCUGUCCUCCACUGCUGCAUCUCGUUUUUGUGCCUACAGAUUCCCCACACACCAUAAAUGCAAGUGUUAUUUGACUUAGGUACUCUGCAUGACUUCCCAAAAUGUCCCCUACCCUCCAAAAAUACCUUCAUAGCAUGCUAGACAUUUCAGAUGCACAAAGGCACUUCCUCUUGGAAGGGGGAAAUGAAAAAUCCCACUGUCUCAAAAUGACUAAGUUUUUCACACAAACUAAAUUCCCAGUAGAAUAAAUUUCCAGUCACUUUGUGGGGGAAGGACUACUUUUCAGUUUCCUAACGCCACUAUAUUGUAUGCAUGAUGAUGUCCAAUAAUGAUGAAAUCUCUGGCUUCAGGAAGGGGUGGUUUCCCAAAGUGAGCUGGUCACAGGGGUGUGGUGGCAGCUGGUACCCCACGAUGAACUGGUUGAGGAUCUCUGUCAAUGAACGGAAAGUUAAAAACAUUUUACCCAGCAGAAGAUGUGUCUUUAGAAUCACUAAAAUACCAGGGGUAAAUGAAUAAAGGAGUAAAAUACAAAGAAGGAAAAGCAAGCAUUUUCAAAUCACAGGUGUAAAAAAAAAAAUGAAGUGGUCAGGGCCUAUUUGUUAUUUUGUUCAGUUAGAAUGCAUUUUUCCAGUUUAAUGAGUUUUGACAAUUGCAUAUACCCAUGUAACCACUACCCAAAAAAUACAAACACUUCAGUCACCCUGUCCAGUCAAUCUGCUCCAACUCAAUCAUUUUUUAACUUCUAAUUUUUUUUUUGUCUGAAGAGCACUUUUACAUCUGUCUUCUUUUCUUAAAUAGCUUUAUCGAUACACAAUUCACAUGCCAUAAGAAAUCACUCACUUAAAGUAUACACGUCAAUGGUUUUUAGUAUGCCCAGAGUUGUGUCACCAUCAAUAUAAUCAAUUUUAGAAUACUUCCUUCUCUCCAAAAAGAAGCCCUGUAUCCAUUAGCAGUCACCCUCAUUUAUCCCCAGCCACCAAGUCCUUUUGCUCCUUUUCGUUGCUAAGUAGUUUUCCAACGUAUGUACACUCACGAUUCAUCUAUUCUCCUGUGGAUGGACGUCUGGAUAGGACCUACUUGUGUUUGAGGAGCCUUUCAGCAUAAACACCUAUUUCUACAGUUACAGAAGAGGCAGCAAUGGAUGCAAGUGGGUAAUAUAGAAGCAUGUUCCUAAAUCAGAGACUGCAAAGUCUGUUAAAACUCAAAAAACGUACACACAAAAAAUGCAAAACAUGUGACAGGCAAAGGGCAAGGGCUGUUUAAAAAAAAAAAAAACAAACUCAAAACUAGAAAAAAGAUGAACACACCAAAUGAAAUAUCAAAGAAGAAAUUCACAAAUGUAAAUACCAAUUAUCAAUAAGCAUACCAGCUUCCCCAGCUCCCCCAGCUCUGCUGAUAAUAAGAUAGAAUCUUCCAGACACAGUGGGUGAGAGUAACGUUUCAGGCAGUCUUUCCAGAGGAUGACUCGUCAGCAUAUACAAAAGCAUUCAAUAUUUGCAUUCUACUUGUAAGAACUUGUGCCCAAGGAAAUGUCAUGAAUGGGUACAAAAAUUAAGCCACAAAGGAUGGUCAUCAAAGCAUUAUUUAUGAUAGAUAAAAUUAGACUAUUCAAUGUUCCAUAAUUAAAUAUUCAACAAUAAGGACUGAUUGCAUAAAUGAAAAGAGCCAAACAAUGAGUGCAUCAUUACAUGGCUAUUAAAAACAAAGCUGGAAUAAGAACAUGUAAUCACAUGGAAUGAUGAUCUUACUACAACGUUAAGUGAAAAAAUGACCCCAGGAGGUACAUUGGUAUAUAUAGUAUGAAUCUAUUUUUGGACAUAAAACCAAGAAUACAUGUAUAGAACAAAAAACAUGUUUAUUAAACACCCCUUAUAUUCUUGUUAUUGUUUAUUUAUAUUUUCUAAAUUUUCUACAAUGAACAUGUAUUACUUCUGAAAUACUAAAAAAAAAAAGACAAAAACGAAAACCAAAGAGCUAAAAGCAUGUA